rfam:Aedes aegypti strain Liverpool supercont1.1500 genomic scaffold, whole genome shotgun sequence.
GGCUCUGUAGCUUAGUUGGUAAAGCGCUCGUCUAGCAUACAAGAGUCCUGGGUUCAAAUCACAGCCGAGUAC